rnacentral:rRNA from 1 species
CAGCCGCCGCGGUAACACGGAGGAUCCAAGCGUUAUCCGGAAUCAUUGGGUUUAAAGGGUCCUUAGGCGGUCUUGUAAGUCAGUGGUGAAAGCCCAUCGCUCAACGGUGGAACGGCCAUUGAUACUGCAGGACUUGAAUUAUUGGGAAGUAACUAGAAUAUGUAGUGUAGCGGUGAAAUGCUUAGAGAUUACAUGGAAUACCAAUUGCGAAGGCAGGUUACUACCAAUUGAUUGACGCUGAUGGACGAAAGCGUGGGUAGCGAACAGGAUUAGAUACCCGUGUAGUCCCUGUCUCUUAUAC